UGGGAACGUGCCCAAAGGUACGGAACAACUCCGGGAAACUGGAGUUAAUACCGUAUGUGCCCGAAAGGGGAAAGAUUCAUCGCCUUUGGAUCGGCCCGCGUCUGAUUAGCUAGUUGGCGGGGUAAUGGCCCACCAAGGCGACGAUCAGUAGCUGGUCUGAGAGGAUGACCAGCCACACUGGGACUGAGACACGGCCCAGACUCCUACGGGAGGCAG
rnacentral:rRNA from 1 species